rnacentral:rRNA from 1 species
UACGUAGGUGGCAAGCGUUGUCCGGAUUUACUGGGCGUAAAGAGCGCGCAGGCGGUCGUACAAGUCGCGUGUGAAAGCCCCCGGCUCAACUGGGGAGGGUCACGCGAUACUGUUCGACUCGAAGGCAGGAGAGGGAAGUGGAAUUCCCGGUGUAGUGGUGAAAUGCGUAGAUAUCAGGAGGAACACCUGCGGUGUAGACGGCUUACUGGACCAUCACUGACGCUGAGGCACGAAAGCGUGGGUAGCAAACAGG